UACGAAAGGAGCGAGCGUUUUCCAACCUGAUUCGGCGUAAAGUGUUUAUCGGCAGCUCUUUUGGUAUUAAGUAGAAAGAUUAGAGUGAAAUCUAAAUAACUAUUUUUAAAGAACCAUUUUUAGAGCAAUGAGUUUAACAGAGGAUACCAGAAUUCCAAGGGUAAUGGGGUAAAAAUUCCAAGCCAGGGAGGAAUGCCGUCGGCGAAGGCGGGUAUCUGGGUUAAAACUGACGCUAAUGAACUAAAGCGUGGGGAGCAAACGGG
rnacentral:misc_RNA from 1 species